UUCCGGUUGAUCCUGCCGGACCUGACUGCUAUCGGAUUGAUACUAAGCCAUGCGAGUCAUUGUAGUAAUACAAGGCAGACGGGUCAGUAACGCGUAGUCAACCUACCUUAUGGACGGGGAUAACCUCGGGAAACUGAGAAUAAUACCCGAUAGAACAUAAUGCCUGGAAUGGUUUAUGUUUCAAAUAAUUUAUUGCCGUAAGAUGGGACUGCGGCCUAUCAGUUUGUUGGUGAGGUAAUGGCCCACCAAGACUAUUACAGGUACGGGCUCUGAGAGGAGUAGCCCGGAGAUGGACUCUGAGACACGAAUCCAGGCCCUACGGGGUGCAGCAGGCGCGAACACUUUACAAUGCGGGAAACCGCGAUAAGGGAACCCCGAGUGCCAGCAUCAAAUGUUGGCUGUCCAGAUGAUUAAAAAUCAUUUGUUAGCAAGGGCCGGGCAAGACCGGUGCCAGCCGCCGCGGUAACACCGGCGGCCCGAGUGGUAGCCGUUUUUAUUGGGUCUAAAGGGUCCGUAGCCGGCUUGAUAAGUCUUUUGGGAAAUCUGGCAGCUUAACUGUCAGGCUUCUAAGGGAUACUGUCAGGCUUGGGACCGGAAGAGGUAAGGGGUACUCCAGGGGUAGGAGUGAAAUCUUGUAAUCCCUGGGGGACCAUCUGUGGCGAAGGCGCCUUACCAGAACGGGUCCGACGGUGAGGGACGAAAGCUAGGGGAGCAAACCGGAUUAGAUACCCGGGUAGUCCUAGCUGUAAACGAUGCUCGCUAGGUGUCAGACACGGUGCGACCGUGUUUGGUGCCGCAGGGAAGCCGUUAAGCGAGCCACCUGGGAAGUACGGUCGCAAGGCUGAAACUUAAAGGAAUUGGCGGGGGAGCACUACAACGGGUGGAGCCUGCGGUUUAAUUGGAUUCAACGCCGGAAAACUCACCGGGUGCGACAGCAACAUGUAGGUCAGGCCGAAGGUCUUACCUGAAUCGCUGAGAGGAGGUGCAUGGCCGUCGUCAGUUCGUACUGUGAAGCAUCCUGUUAAGUCAGGCAACGAGCGAGACCCGCGCCCACAGUUGCCAGCAUGUUCUCAGGAACGAUGGGUACACUGUGGGGACCGCCGCUGCUAAAGCGGAGGAAGGAACGGGCUACGGUAGGUCAGUAUGCCCCGAAUCUCCCGGGCUACACGCGGGCUACAAUGGUUGGGACAAUGGGCACCUACCCUGAAAAGGGAUGGUAAUCUCCGAAACCCAACCGUAAUUCGGAUUGAGGGCUGUAACUCGCCCUCAUGAAGCUGGAACGGGCGGUGUGUGC
rnacentral:rRNA from 1 species